UACGUAGGGCGCGAGCGUUAAUCGGAAUUACUGGGCGUAAAGCGUGCGCAGGCGGUUUUGUAAGCCAGAUGUGAAAGCCCCGGGCUUAACCUGGGAAUGGCAUUUGGGACUGCAAGGCUUGAGUGCGGCAGAGGAGACUGGAAUUCCUGGUGUAGCAGUGAAAUGCGUAGAUAUCAGGAGGAAUACCGAUGGCGAAGGCAGGUCUCUGGGCUGACACUGACGCUCAUGCACGAAAGCGUGGGGAGCAAACAGG
rnacentral:rRNA from 1 species